GAUGAACGCUGGCGGCGUGCCUAAUACAUGCAAGUCGAGCGAACAGACGAGGAGCUUGCUCCUCUGACGUUAGCGGCGGACGGGUGAGUAACACGUGGAUAACCUACCUAUAAGACUGGGAUAACUUCGGGAAACCGGAGCUAAUACCGGAUAAUAUAUUGAACCGCAUGGUUCAAUAGUGAAAGACGGUUUUGCUGUCACUUAUAGGUGGAUCCGCGCCGCAUUAGCUAGUUGGUAAGGUAACGGCUUACCAAGGCGACGAUGCGUAGCCGACCUGAGAGGGUGAUCGGCCACACUGGAGCUGAGACACGGUCCAGACUCCUACGGGAGGCAGCAGUAGGGAAUCUUCCGCAAUGGGCGAAAGCCUGACGGAGCAACGCCGCGUGAGUGAUGAAGGUCUUCGGAUCGUAAAACUCUGUUAUUAGGGAAGAACAAAUGUGUAAGUAACUAUGCACGUCUUGACGGUACCUAAUCAGAAAGCCACGGCUAACUACGUG
rnacentral:rRNA from 1 species